UGGGAACGUACCCUUUGGUUCGGAACAACCCAGGGAAACUUGGGCUAAUACCGGAUAAGUCCGUAAGGAGAAAGAUUUAUCGCCAAAGGAUCGGCCCGCGUCUGAUUAGCUAGUUGGUAGGGUAAUGGCCUACCAAGGCUACGAUCGGUAGCUGGUCUGAGAGGAUGAUCAGCCACAUUGGGACUGAGACACGGCCCAAACUCCUACGGGAGGCAG
rnacentral:rRNA from 1 species